GACGUAGGGCGCGAGCGUUGUCCGGAAUUACUGGGCGUAAAGGGCUCGUAGGCGGCCAACUAAGUCAUACGUGAAAUCCCUCAGCUUAACUGGGGAACUGCGUGUGAUACUGGAUGGCUUGGAUUUGGGAGAGGGAUGCGGAAUUCCAGGUGUAGCGGUGAAAUGCGUAGAUAUCGUAAGGAACGCCAGUGGCGAAAGCGAAUCUCUGGGCAGCAACUGACGCUGAGGCACGAAGGCCAGGGGAGCAAACGGG
rnacentral:rRNA from 1 species